rnacentral:rRNA from 1 species
UACGGAGGAUCCGAGCGUUAUCCGGAUUUAUUGGGUUUAAAGGGAGCGCAGGCCGCCCCUUAAGCGUGUUGUGAAAUGCCGCGGCUCAACCGUGGCACUGCAGCGCGAACUGGGGGGCUUGAGUGCGCCGGAGGUAGGCGGAAUUCGUGGUGUAGCGGUGAAAUGCGUAGAUAUUAGGAGGAACACCAGUGGCGGAGGCGGCUUGCUGGACUGUAACUGACGCUGAUGCUCGAAAGUGUGGGUAUCAA